UUUCAACUAUAGUCUCAGUUUAACUAAUCAAAUGCGGUUCAUUAAUGUUUCUCAUGGGUGAGUUUGUUGCUUGCUUGGAUUUUUCUUUUUUUAUGUAUAAAACAAAGACAUAUCUAAGCAUAACAAAAAAGAGUCAAUAUACGGGUUCAUAGCUCAGUGAUAAGAGUAUUUAUUUGCAAAUCAAUAGUCUGAGGUUCAAACAUCAAUAACACCUCUCCUUACCCCUCCCAAACUUUGACCAAAAACAAAACAAAAAACAAAAAACACAACAAAAAAGAGUUUCAUCCAAAUUGAAUUUCGUACGCAUUUGCAUUACCAUGUAAUUAAUGAGUCCCUCUCUCUAACAAAUACAAACAUUUGGGGCACUAAUUUUCAAAUUUUAUUAUGUGCCUCCAGCUCAUCAGUGCAUGAGGUGUAUUAUUUUGAUGAUAAAUUCCACGUGUUAUAAUAUUAAUUUCUUGGAUUGCAUUUCAGUCUGUCAUCUUCACAUUCACUAAUUAGGUUGUCAUCAUUUUUUCUCUUCUUACCAAAUGACUGACACAGACGCACCCGCCAAUGAUAUCCAUUCAAAACAAAACAAACUCAUUCUAAAACCAAGCUUCAAUGGCUUCCCUCCCAGGAAAAAAGAUGGACUUACUUAGGAGCAUUGGCAGCUACAACUACAAACUGCUGCGUGUUGCAUUGACAGUCAAUUGUUGGUCCAUUUUGG
rnacentral:lncRNA from 1 species